UAUUAUUUGAUGUGUUUACACAGAUCAGAAUUUUUUUUUGUUAUACAUUAGAAGGUACAGAUCAGAAUGAUGACAACUACAGAAAAACCAAGAAAAUAAACCCUAAGCUUUCCCUUCUUUAGUUUAAUUUGGAACGAGGUUCCAUGUUGAUCAACUCGCUCGCAAUUUUAUCAACUUCUUCUUUCCCCAAACAUUCAACCUUAAAGAUACCCAAUUCAAUUAUCAUCGCAAACCCUUUAUUCCCAUUACGCUGGGCCAAAGAAAUGGCAGCAUCUGCGAUCUUCGGCUUCAAGAAAUUAAGCACAUGGGUAUCAAGAUUUAAGGUCUUCAACACGUCCGGCAGAUAAAGUUCGCGCCACAUGGAUAAAGGGAAGACGAUUGGAACUCUGAUCGAGCUACGUUGUUCUGGGGUCACAAGAUCUUCAAUCACGAUUGCAGCGCCUUCUUCCGGUGGGAGUUUUAGUUGAUAUCUAUAUAGAAUGCGAAAUUCGAUAUUACAGGUUGGGAGGGAGGAGGAUGCUGGGUUUGUAGCUCCCUUGGCCUCGUACACGUUGAAAAGGCAGCUUACUUUGCUCGUCAUUGAUGCUUAUAACUUCCAACCAAUUUUUGGAUAAAUUGGACUUUCCGCUUGAAUAUUCAUCAAGUCUCCAGCUGUUCAGCCUUCAAAACUAUAUAUUAGCA
rnacentral:misc_RNA from 1 species